UACGGGGGGGGCAAGCGUUGUUCGGAAUUACUGGGCGUAAAGGGCUCGUAGGCGGCCAACUAAGUCCGACGUGAAAUCCCCAGGCUUAACCUGGGAACUGCGUCGGAUACUGGAUGGCUUGAAUUCGGGAGAGGGAUGCAGAAUUCCAGGUGUAGCGGUGAAAUGCGUAGAUAUCUGGAGGAACACCGGUGGCGAAGGCGGCAUCCUGGACCGGCAUUGACGCUGAGGAGCGAAAGCCAGGGGAGCAAACGGG
rnacentral:rRNA from 1 species